rnacentral:tRNA from 2 species
GGAGAGAUGUCCGAGUGGUUUAAGGAGCGCGCCUGGAAAGUGCGUAUACGUCAAAAGCGUAUCCAGGGUUCGAAUCCCUGUCUCUCCG